GACAAAAUGGAGCCAGUUCAUUCAUCACGCUGACAUUAAAAGCUUAUGCUGCUGCCUGUUUCCUUUUUUUAAUUGGCUGCAUGCUGUGAGACAUCUGGGACGACUGCUCCUCCUGCUCUCGCCGCAUCACCGUCCUGGUUUCCAUGGUAACCCCCCAACUGGCACCUGUAUAGGGAGGGGGAGCUCAGAGUGAGGAUACAGAGAUGAGUCUCCUGGUAUCUAAGACAAGUGUGUUGGGAGGUGGCAACCCAAAGACAUGUUGGAGUGCGACCGACGUUAAUGUUUUCUGCGUCAAUAUUUUCUGCAAUUACAUCCUCGAUCAAAAGAAUCAUGGAUCAAACCUGUCAGCCUCAUGACUUCCAUUUGCCAAGGAGCGCCAAACACAUCUACCUUAAGUGGCUUUCGAUUCAAAAUGUCAUUCAUUCACUUUGGGGAUGAAAAUUGGUGUCUGAAAUUGAAUCGUUUGCACUAAAUAUGAAGCUAUUUCAAAGUAUAGGGCUGCAACUUAUGAUUAUUUUCAUUUAUUGUUCUGUCAAUUAUCUUUUCAAUUAAAGUUUGAUCUACAAAAGGUCAGAAAAUGAUCAAAGAUAUAAUCAUAUUUUCCUAAAGUCCAAGGUGACAUUUUCACGUCUUGUUUUCUGUCAUCCCCUGCCCCACACUCAAAGAUAUUCAUUUUGAAACCAUCAUUUAUUUUCAUUAUUGAUUAAUAUGUCAAUUAUAUUCACAAGUAAGCUAUCAGUGUUUGCUUUAUACUGUGUAAGAAGAUGGAAGGCUAUCAUUGUUUCCCAAGGCCGCCCUAUACGAAUGUCUUGUUUUGCCCACAACACAAAGAUAUUCUGUUUACUUUCAUAGAGGAGUUUUGAAACCAGAAAAUAGCACAUUGAAAAAGCUGGAAUCAGAGAAUUUUUGCUUUUUUUCACAUAAAAUUACUCAAUUAAUUAUUAAUUGAUUAUCAAAAUUAUUGGCAACUAACAAUUCAGUUUACUGUCAUAGGAGACCACAAACAGCAACAGCUCUCAUCAGUUUUAUUUUGGCUUGUUUUUUCCAGAUUAAUCUUGGACAAAUCAUUUCAGCAUUUAAAGUAAAAAGUCAGCAGUCAUAUCUUAUGACAAUAAGUCUUCUGUUUUCCUAUUUUUGUCUUUUUUUCAUUGUCCAGCGUGGUUUUAAAAUACAUUUGUAGAGGAGGUGUGUUUGAGUCCCAUGUUGGACGAAUCGCCCCUUUGUGGGUCGCUGAGCCACUAAUAAUUCAUCAGUUGAGGUCCGCCAUGCUGCUGCCCACACCCUGCCCAUCAUUAAUCAUGCGGCUGCUCUGGGGAAGUGGAUGCAGAACGCGCCCAACAAACAGAAUCAGGUCGCGCCUGAGUGAUAGCUUCAUUCUCCCAGUCCCAAUAGCAACCACCUGUGUUAACGCAAUAAACAAGCGUAAUGUGUUAUUUCUCCUCAUCUCCCUCAAUUACACUGUGGGAAACAGCAUCGCGCUAGCUGACUGGCUAAUCGGCUAGCGGGCCAGCUGAUUCCCAUGUUGCUCUUUUUGUGGCUCACUGUUGUGAAGGGAAGGGGCUUUGUUUGAACACUGCUAAUGAAAGGUCGACCUCUGGCACAUUAAAAUUGAUCAGUCUCCAUGGGCAGGCCUGGAUCCUAGGCCCCUGGAGGGAUGGGAGCAAAAUCAUGGCAGUGCUCUUUGCUACAUGCAUUUUUAGCUUUUAGUCUCUGGAGUGAAUUGAGAGCUCAGUUUCUAUGUCUCUGGUGAUAAAAAAAAAAAAACUGUAUCAUCAGAGGAACAAGGGGACAAGUAAUUUACUAUUCCACUCGUUGAAGGGGAAGGAUUUGUCUAAACGCUACAGGAGCUUGCUCCCUAGAGAAUGAUUAAAAGCCACAUCCACUGAGGCCAUCAAUAGACGAGACCAUUAAGAAGUUCAACUAGCUGAAGAAAUGACUCUCAAGAGGAAAGGAACCUUUCUGACAAAACAAAGAAUAAUAAUUAACAGCAUUGAAACAGUGUGCAUUUUACUCCUGCUUAUUGUUGUGAUUUUAUAUAUCACUGAGGGUUAUCACAUAGUCUUAUGCAUUGGUAACCUGUCACCAAAAAAGUUCUGUGCCAUUUGUGCUAGA